rnacentral:rRNA from 1 species
UAGAGUUUGAUCCUGGCUCAGGAUGAACGCUAGCGGGAGGCUUAACACAUGCAAGUCGAGGGGUAUGAUUAGCAAUAGUCAGAGACCGGCGCACGGGUGAGUAACGCGUAUGCAACCUGCCCUUUACAGGGGGAUAGCCCGUCGAAAGGCGGAUUAAUACCCCAUAAUAUUGUACUGCCGCAUGGUAGAACGAUAAAAGCUGAGGCGGUAAAGGAUGGGCAUGCGUGACAUUAGCUGGUUGGUAGGGUAACGGCCUACCAAGGCUACGAUGUCUAGGGGUUCUGAGAGGAAGGUCCCCCACACUGGUACUGAGACACGGACCAGACUCCUACGGGAGGCAGCAGUGAGGAAUAUUGGUCAAUGGGCGCGAGCCUGAACCAGCCAUCCCGCGUGCAGGAAGACGGCCCUAUGGGUUGUAAACUGCUUUUGUGCAGGAAGAAUGUGCCCAUCGUGAUGGGUAGUGACGGUACUGCAUGAAUAAGCACCGGCUAACUCCGUGCCAGCAGCCGCGGUAAUACGGAGGGUGCAAGCGUUAUCCGGAUUUAUUGGGUUUAAAGGGUGCGUAGGCGGUAAGAUAAGUCAGUGGUGAAAAUCUGCAGCUCAACUGUAGUCGUGCCAUUGAAACUGUUUUACUUGAGUAACCAUGAGGUAGGCGGAAUGUGUAGUGUAGCGGUGAAAUGCUUAGAUAUUACACAGAACACCGAUUGCGUAGGCAGCUUACUAGCGGUUCACUGACGCUGAUGCACGAAAGCGUGGGGAUCAAACAGGAUUAGAUACCCUGGUAGUCCACGCCGUAAACGAUGAUAACUCGCUGUUGGCGAUACACAGUCAGCGGCUUAGCGAAAGCGUUAAGUUAUCCACCUGGGGAGUACGCUCGCAAGAGUGAAACUCAAAGGAAUUGACGGGGGCCCGCACAAGCGGAGGAACAUGUGGUUUAAUUCGAUGAUACGCGAGGAACCUUACCUGGGCUUAAAUGUGCUAUGACCGCCGAAGAAAUUUGGCUUUUCGCAAGAACAGAGUACAAGGUGCUGCAUGGUUGUCGUCAGCUCGUGCCGUGAGGUGUCGGGUUAAGUCCCAUAACGAGCGCAACCCUUAUGAUUAGUUGCUAACAGGUCAGGCUGAGGACUCUAGUCAGACUGCCACCGUAAGGUGUGAGGAAGGUGGGGAUGACGUCAAAUCAGCACGGCCCUUAUGUCCAGGGCUACACACGUGUUACAAUGGCCGAUACAGAGGGCAGCUACCCCGCGAGGGGCCGCUAAUCCGGAAAAGUCGGUCUCAGUUCGGAUCGGAGUCUGCAACCCGACUCCGUGAAGCUGGAUUCGCUAGUAAUCGCGCAUCAGCCAUGGCGCGGUGAAUACGUUCCCGGGCCUUGUACACACCGCCCGUCAAACCAUGGGAGCCGAGGGUACCUGAAGUCUGUGACCGCGAGGAGCGGCCUAGGGUAAAAUUGGUGACUAGGGUAAGUCGAACAAGGUACCAAGGGGAAUUGGCCGAUAA